rnacentral:lncRNA from 1 species
CAUGCUCAACUAUAGUCUCCUCUCUAAAAUAUGUUCUCUCUUCUACUUGCUUCCAUCUUUUUAUAAUAAAGUCUGUUGUGGUAUCUUAUGAAACUUGCCUCACCGCACUACCAAUUUCUCAGUAGCCAAUUCUGAGUUUGCGUUCACUUUCAGGCAUUUUAUCUGCCUUGCUCUGAGAGGUAUUAUUAAUCACAUCCUGUUGCUAGGAUACCUGAGAAUGUUCAUUUAUGUCUGAUGUUUCUUUGGCAAAAUGCACUAUGAAGAAGGCAUAGAAUCAUGACAAUGAAAAUUACUGUGCACAUGCUACUUAUUAAAAAAGGGAGGAAGAGCAUAACCACCAGAUAAUAUAAUGCUAACUGCCAUGAAUUUUUUAAUAUCGUUUUUGUUUCACCUAGAUUUUAAAGGAAAAAAAACUCGCAAUAUUUUUGGAUAAUGAGAAUCUGUAGUGCUUCUAUACUUCCGAGUUAACUAGAAAAAGUGGAAGGUGGUAGGGUUUUGGUUCUGUUCAUUUCAUAGGGAUUUAAGAGAGGAAGGAGCUUGAAAUGCUUCAAAUGCUUCCUUUACAGACAGGGUAACUAGGUUAUAGUGCUAGUUGAUUUGCAGGGCCAGACCUAAAACCCAGGUCACCACUAUUGCCAUGUUUAGCUAUUUUAAUGCAAGAUUUUUUAGAAAAGUGGGAUGUGGAAUUGGACAAUAAUAGUAAAAAAAUGCCUUUAUCAAUAUAUUAAAAUAAUUUCAAAAUUAGUGCUGUCUUGGGUGCUAGUACACCAAAAAUUCCUGCUUAUUGGUUGUCAUGAGAGAAUAUGGAUACAUAAAAUCCACCUCAAUGCAAGAUUUUCUUAGUCAAUUUCUUCCUACAGGAAAUAGCAUGAUAUAACAAAAGGAACACGGAUUUGGAGUUCGAUGGACUAACUUCUCAUCCUACCCAGGGAUGCUUGUGAGCCAUGUAAUCUGGGAAUGAGGUCUUGAGUACCUUCUCAUUACAUGUGCUUUUUCUUCUCACCUCUUCUCUCUUUCGUGUGUGUGUGUGUGUGUGUGUGUGUAUACACAAGAUACGUUUGGCAUAUCCAUAAGCCAUAUAUAAUCAGUCUCUAGGUUUUAAAAGUUGCAGGAAUAAAUUAUUUAAAAAAAUUUUCUGCAGACUAGCUUUUUAUUAGUCAAUUAUUGUUUAUCAAAUUAUUUGUUUGAAUGAAACAAUUUUUUUAACUUAUAAUUAUCUAACCACAAUGUUUCAGGAGUAAGAUACUUGAAAGAUCUUGCAAUUUUCUUUUUAUCAGGUAAGUAUUUAUUUAGUACCUACUAUGAGUUGGGCAUUCUAUUGACACUUAAAUAUUUCAUUUAAUUUUCCCAGUAAAUGACUUUCAUUUUCUGAUGGUGAAGGCAGGCUCAGAAUCUUUUUUCACAUGCACAAGGUUCCAGUUAGUGAAUGUCAGAACUGGAAUAUGAAUCCAGAGAUUUUUACCUUUUCUGUGCUUUUUAGCUGUGGUGAUUAAGGACAAUUUUGUAGAGUGGUGAAAACUUUGAGUUGUAGCUCUACCACUUGAUCACUGUGGGCUGUGGGCACCUCAUUUUAAUCUAAGGUGAAUUGUUUUUUUCUGGAAAUGGGAGUAAUACAAGUACCUACUUCACAGGGUCACUGUGAAGAUUAAAUAAAAUGAUGUGUUUAAUAAUAAUCUCUACAUGUUUUGAGUGCAUAACACAACAAUAUUUAUAAUGCUCUCACCUUGGUGCCUGGGACAUAGCAAAUAGUACAUUGCUAGGUGCUCCUCUUUAUAAGUAUUCUGUAUCAGGUUGUCCUUAAUAGCAUAUAAUAAUUCUUUAUAUCCUUAAGGUCGAUGACUUCCAUUAUGAAUAUUAUAAAGUUGAGACUUUGGGAGUUUUCUGAUAUGUUUACAUCACCUCCCUCUCUUCCCUUCUUUUUGUUUCCAAGGAAAAAGGGGCUUCCCAUUUUAGUGGAUUCCCUUUCUCUCAUCCUCAUGUCCUAACUCUUUUCAAAUACAAAUUAGUUUGAUGAAAACCAAAUUUACAUGUCAAAAUUCUCCCCAGUUAUGAGCUAAGAUCAUAUGAUUUUAGGAUGCAGGCUUUAUGGCUUAAAUUCCUAUUCACAUUUUGGAGUGGCCACCAACUGUGGACUGCCAAUAGUCUAAUGUGGUCUGAAGAGAAAGGGAGAGCUGCUCUAGAAAUCAGAGACCUCCCUGCCAGAACUUGUUCUCUUCCACAAUUGGUAGUAGAAUCUUGAACAAGUAACUUGGCUCUUGCAAGAUUCAAUGGUCUAUUCAUUUAGAUAGGUAAAUGCUAUCUUUCAAUAAUUCCAAAAGAAAUUAUGCAAACAGGGAUGUGAAAGGAUUUUAUGUACUACAUUGUAAGAGGAGGAACAGAGAAGUUUAACUGGGCCAAUUUGAAAACCAACUGGUCUGUAGAAGUCUACAUAAAACUGUAGAAACUGCAUAGCUUCUGUGUGGUCAAUGGUAUAAAAGAAUGAGGAGUUUAUUUUAUAAUUUAUGGCUGGAUUCAUGCUGCUGAUUAAACACCAGCCUCCGCAGACAUUGAGGAUAGCCUCUAUAUGGCUGUGAAUCCUCUCUGCCCUCCUGCAGGUUUAGAUAAACUCCACUUGCUCCUGUCUGUUUCUAUUUGCUUAGUUGAUAUGUUGCUAGGACGCUUAGGCAAAGAGAGCCAUUAUGAGCACAGCGAGUACUGUGAGCUCCAGACAGUGUGUACUGAGAUACAAAAACUGGCCCUUCAGAAACAUAUCGAUACAGAUAGAUCUGGGCUUCUGAGGUCGGCCAUCUGCCUUGGCAGGGCUGACUCUCCAUCUGCACUCCCCAGCCCUGGGGUCUGCCAUCCGGCAUAGCGUGGAGAAAGCUUGAGAAGGACUGAAUGCUCAAAGAUUUGCAGGCGGCUGACCUCUCUGUAAAGAAAUAGUAAAAUCAGUAUGAGAAACAACAGUUUUAGGUUGUCUUGGAAAUUCCCAAGUACAAAAUUUCUUCCCACUGAGAUCUACCCGACAAGCACGUAAUUAAUGUGACAAACAACAGCCCCUUUCAGAUUCCCAACAUUGGUCUGGCUGAAUUAAAUCUUAGAGUAAACCUUUUGAUAUUCAGGAUCUCAUUCUGAGGCAGUCAUUUCUUGGCAGAGAAGAUUUUUGGAAGACCUUUAGAGGUUGAAGUCAGACUGGCAAUAGUAAAUACCUAAUUAUUGCCAGGUUUUAAAUAGCUUUGCAAAAUAGGAAUGCUAGUCUUAAUUGCGUAAGCUGCAGCUACUGACUAAAGGAGGGAUGUGAGCAUUUGUACUUUCCUCUGAGCAUUGAACGUGUUUCUAGUAAGUUAGGUGUGAGUAGUCACUUUUAAAUAAUAUAAUAUUCUAAGUGUCUUUGGUGUGUUUAUUAUAUUGAGAAAAACUGGAAUGAAUUAUUUUGUAAAAUGACAAAUCUUUUCAUAAUGUUUAUUCACUCCUGUGCUAGAAAAAAAUGAUAACACAUUAAGAGUUAGAGUUUAAUUCCCUUCCCCUCGAAUCUCUGCAGGCCUAGUAACUUGCUUACCCAGUCGGAUACAGCAGAAAUGAUGUUUUUCCAAUCCCUAAGCUUAGGCCUUGAGCAUCAGGCAGCUUCUACUUUCCAUCUUUAAAAACGUGCUCCAGACACCAUGUAAGAAAUCAGACAACCCUAAGACCACCAUGCUGUAAGGAAGCUCUAGCUAACCACACAUGGAGGCCACAUGGAAAGAGAGCUGCCUGAACAGUAUGUGACCAGCUCCCAGGUGUUCCAGCCAUCCCAACCCAGGGACCAGAUACGUGGGUCAAGAAACCAUUUUAGAAGGAGAUUUUCCAGCUCUAGUCACCUCAGCAAACGCCAUGUGGAUUUGAGACAAACUGCCCUGCCAGACUUUUCCCAAAUCCCUAAGCCACAAAACUGCAAGCAAAAUAUCAUUUUUAUAUCAUUAGGUUUUGUCAUACUUGGUUACACAGGAAUAGUCAAAACAACGCUUUUCUUUUUUUCAUAAUGAGAAUAUUUAUUGACAUACAUAUCAAUAUAUAUUGAUAUUUUUUUUCCUUUGAAGCAGGGCUCACCUAGAUUCCUUCUUUCCUAAGAGGGUUUGUUCAAUAUACCUAUAAAUAUGUUCUAUUAUUCAGCAUUUUAGCAUCUAAAAUUAUUCCUUUUCAUGAAAAAAGAAUAAAGCCUGUUAUUAGGAGUGCAGUUAAAGCACAAUUUCUAUAGAUUACUACAUAUUUUGUUUUAUUAGAGUUUUACAAUUUUACCCUGUAAAGUGGAGUAAAAGUAAAGUGGAGACUUGCCAGUGGUCCAGCACAUCAGAACUUGUAAACCAUCAAUUGGGGUACCCAUUUGAAACAAUGACAUUAAAAUAUGUAUCUAGGCUUCGAAAACUUUACCAUAUAUUGUUAGAAUUAUGUAGAAAUCCUCUGAACUGAAACACUCAAAAGAUUCAACACAAUUUAUGGUAAAUAAUUUAAAAUAGUCUUAUUUUCCCUGGGUAGAUUUACUUCUAAAGGAUCAAUUAGUGGAAUCUAUAUUGAAUUAAGAGUUUUAAUAUUAUUUAGAGUUAAUUUUCUGUAUGAAGGCAACAACGGGAAGCAUUUCAUUAGGAAAGGUAAUGAUAUGAGUCCAAACAGAAUCUAUGCUUGUGAAGUCUGAGUUUGUUCACUUUAAAUAGCAAUUUAUGUGGCUAAUGAACACACAAUCCUGCCUAGAUUUUCAUCUGGGGGAAACAAGGACAUUUCAUUGCUCUUUUUCCCCACACUCUUAAUCAUCAUCUCAUUAGCUUGUGGAGAAAACUGGUGGAGGCCAGAGGUGAGCUUUAUUUUCUUCUUUGAGAUGUCAGUACAGGUUUUAAUCCCGCUAGCCCCAAGUUUUUCCUUUUUUAUCUUGAAAAUAUCCUCUUCACACUCAUCUUUUCCUUCACAUUGACCCACGUCAAAGGUUUGGGCCUCAGACAUUCAGGGAAGCCGAUAUUUCAUGGAUAGAAGGAAGAAAACAUGAAAAGUAUGUUUAGAUCAGUGGAUAUUGAUUAAUUGCUUUCAGGCCUUUACAGGCUACUUUGUAAGCUUGUAAAGACUAUCCCCCAUAAACUUGGUUGAAUGGAGUUUACUAGGAAAAUUGUUAAUUGUCUAGUUCAUUUUAGGUGUAGAAGAGGCUCCCCACCACUUGGGCACUUAGGAGAAAACAACCAGAGCACAUCUUGUUGAGUGUCUAUUAUGUGAGAGACAGAAAGAUAGGUACUUAAUGUCUGCAACGCUAUUGUAAAAAGUAAACAAGAAAUUCACAGUCAAGGUUCAGGGAGGGGCCCUAGAGAAGAGGCUGUGGACUGGUGCAACUGCUAGGGCCUUCAAGUGGGGGCUGGAAGUGGGCCUGUACCUAAUAAUAGAGACAUGGAGGAAGAGACACUCCAGGAGUGAAGAGAAAUAUUGUCUGAAUGCCUAAGGCAACAAGCUAUUUUCUGGAAAAAUCUUUUAUUAGUGUUCAGUGUGAAUUGCUGACUUCAGAAAAAGCAAGCCAGGCACUGGCACAGUGCAGCUCACCAGAAGGGCGGGAAGUAGGGUACUCCAGGGAGUGGGUGCGGGUGAGCUCCAGGAAGGAGAGUGGGAAUGUUGAAAAGAGGGUCCCAACUAGAUGCAGUCACUGAGAGCUAAGAUUUGCACAAGACUAAGAAUUUGGCAUUGUCAGGGAAGGGCAGUAACUUUCUAGCUUUAUUUACUGUGAAAAACACAACUGAGUGCCUGUCCACAGUCCAUUCUCCUCUUUUUCUACUCUGGUACCCAACCCUCUUCUCACAUGACAUGCAUAAAACAUGUAAACUAAUCAUCGUGGUCCCCAUCUCCCUUAGUUUAGGUGGUCAUUUGACAUUUCUGGCUAAUGACAUGUACAUUUAUUUAUUUAGAGAUGAGGUCUCACUAUGUUGAGCAGGCUAAACUCAAAUUCCUGGGCUCAAGCAAUCUUCCUGCCUCAGCCUCCCAAGUAGCUGGGAUUACAGGCAUGUGCCAUCACAUCCAGCUAUAGUGCAUGUUGUCACAUCUGGGCAUGAUGACUGGUUCUUGACCUACACUGGUUCUUGAGGAGAGUAAAGAUCACCUGGUGGCCACAAGCAGAUCAUCUGGAGGCAAAACUCCUUAUCUGAGGACAAAAUCAACUCACUUCAAGAAUGACUGAGGGGAACACACCCCAAGGAUGAAGUCACCAAGCCUCUGAAUUAAUGCACCACGGGACCACCCUGCAUCAGGUUUUCUUGUUAUGUGUUAUUUAACCUUUUUGGGUAUAAGUUCAAGUUUUUGGUUACUUGUAGCUGAAAGCAUACACAAGCCAACUACAAAAAUAAUAUUCAAUGCUAAAUACACUAGGAAUAAAAUCUAAAGGAAAGAGCAUUGCCUUUAAGACAGUUCCAAAAAUUGUAGGCGUGAGACUCUUCCCCAGCCAGGCACUGUACUUUAGAGGAUCUUCUCUUGCUCUCUUUCACACACAUCACUUUCACAGAAGGUGAGGAGGGCCCAGGUGUCUGUAUAUGGCAUCCACACCUUUCCUAGACCAUGCACUGAGUACCUGGGAUGCCAGAAUUCUCUGACCUAACUCUGCCCAGAUCAGAUCUCUGGAGGAGGGGACCAGAUUGCAUCAUUGGUGUGUAGGCUCCAAGGCCCGAGGAGUGUUCAAAGGAUUCCUGGGGCUUUGAUGUGUGUAUCAAUGGCCCCAGUGCACGUGCAUGAGGCCCCUUGCAAUGCUGGAGGGACUGUGAUGAAGGCAGAAAGAAAAGGGGACCUACACUUGUUCUCGAUGAGAGCAAAGAUCACCUGGUGGCCAUCAAGCAGGUCAUCUAGAGGCAAAACUCCUUAUCUGAGGAAUUCAGAAGUAAUUAGACUUCUAGAAUUUCUAUACAUUUCUGGAAUGCAAGCAUGUCGAAACCCAUUGUACAACCUUUGCCGACAUAAAGGCACCAAAACAUCCACAAAUGUUAAUCAUUUCUCAUGACCAAUGUGACUAAUAUGGUCCAAAUCACCCUUCAGCUCCUGCGUUAAGUCCACAAAUACCCCUACGGAAGAUCCAACUGGGCACACUCAGUCCUCUCUUACUGAAGCUGCACUCUGCUGCAGCGUUCCUCCUAUCUAAUAAAACAUUCCUCUUCAAACUUA